UAUAUAAAGAUUUAUUGUUCGUCAAACGUCUGUACGACUGAAGGCUGAACCCUUGUUUCUGUACGUGCCGUAUUUGGAAAACGCCCACCAGCGACAGCACGCCCCCAAGCGACUCAUCGCCUGUUGGACAGGCGACACAGAGCGAUUUUAUCGCGUUCGGUGUGAACGUACAGUAAGGCUAGUGCAGCAGCUGAAGGUCAGGAAAGUUCAGCAGGUGGCACUUUGUUGACAUGCUCCCUUUGCUCCAAGAAAGUACUGGCUGACGAAUAUACACAACAUCUGUCGGACUUCCACGUUCAGGAGCAGUGUCAGCACUGUGGCACAAAGGCCAUGGGUGUUGUGGCUUUGUAAGAGCACCUUAAAAAAAAUGUGUUGAAAUCUUCCACAGACCUCGCAGACAUUUCUACUCCAACCCCUUCAGCCCUUCUCUCCACAACUCAAGCCCAGGAGAUGCCACCAAACAUCCACCUUGGAAGUGGAGAUGCUUCUGUUCCUGCCCCUUCUACAGUAUCUGAGAUGGUACCAGUGACUCAGAGUGGCAGGCCACUUCCUCCUUCCCCUGCUUCUGCUCCUGCUCCAGCUGCAUCACGGCUCCCAGUCCCUCAGCACUAUCCAGAGGUAAGCCGGGCCAGGUUCUUGUCAAAGCCGUUCCUCCAGGUCGUCAAGCCAGGUGACCAGGAGUGGAUUGCCCACAUCCUUUAUGAAGCAAAUGGGCAGCUGAGACAGGAUGUCAGGGAGAAUUGGCACCACCCCCCAAGCCCAGUCAGAUCUGUGGCACCUCCAAACCCACACAAUUAUUUUAGGCAGAGGAUGUUUUUGUGGGCACCAAUGUGCAUGUAGGGCAUCCCUUUGAAAUGCAUUUAAUGCAACCGCAAAAAGCACCACUCUGGGAUCUAUACCAAGGUGAGGGAGAUCAUUGAUGUGGACUCUAAGUAUUAUUUAAUAGGGGGAGAUUACAAACAAAUUGUGUGUAUACUUUUUUCCGCUUAAAUAAAGGUGACCAAAAAACUUGCUGGGAGAAUUGAGGAUACUGCAACGUGGAUGACGAACGUGGGGACUGAGUAUGGGCAAGUGCUAAACUAUGUCCUCACAACCGGUGAGGGGGCUUGACUGGAUGACCUGUGCCAGGGUAUUGUCCAACGAUACAGGGACGCUGGAGAGCCACAGCUGGUCACCAUUUAUGUGGAUAGGGACUGCUGUAGUAACAGAAGGUGGAGAUGCAAUGCGUUGCACAAGCAGACGUAUAUACUCGAGGGACUGUCAAGGUGGAAUUUGAACCGGUCAGCACAAGCACUUUCUAUGCCAGAAACCUCUAAAACAAGGUUGUAUAACAUCAGGCUGAUGUGAAAUGUUAAUGCGCUCAGCAACAAAGUGUUGGGAAGACUUCUUCCUCCAGAGUUUAUCCCACCAGGGAAACUUACAGAUGAGAAAAGUCUUCUGUUGAUGAUGAUCAGACUGAUACUGUGACAUUGUAGGCAAGUAAAGAAUCAUCUUUCACUUGGUGAAUACAUAUUGCAGGAGAGCAUAUUGCUGUCGAGUAUCUUCUGGCUUAGUCCAGGUAACAUUAUGUCAACUAAACCAGACGGUAAAGAAAACAUUUGAAAACUAAAAAACAAACAAACAAAAUGGAUGUACUCUUAUUAAUUACUUUAGGAAUUUGGAACCAGUGGCCCUAAGCCCCAGUCAGAUGCCAGGCCUCCAUUGGAGGAGAGUGAGGCCUCUGCUGGACACAUCCACUCUGCAUUGGAGGAGGCCGAUGCCUCUGCUGGGCCUGUCCACUCCCCAGUGGAAGAGAUCAAUGUCACUUCCAUAACUGAGAGUGAUGCCGCUACUAUGUUGCUUCCUUACCCCAUUCGAGGAAAGUGGGCCCUUCACACCAGCUCCGAUCCCCACCAGAUACACCCUCAAAAGCAAAAAGACAACUUUGCCAGAACCUUGGAGAGCUUCAUGCAAGCACAGUGGCUCUGCUCCAGGCCAGCAAGCAGCGGAGUGAUUGUUCAUGGUCCAUGGUCAGGCUGCUCACAGACCAGACCACAACAGAAUUUCAGUGUGUGUUGCUCUCAAGCUGUUUAAAGAAUACAGGGAAGCCAGAAAUAGGCCGAAGGCCAUACCCCAAUCCAUCAUCAUGGCGUACUCUCACAUCAAGCAGCUAGUUGAGGACUGCAGAGAGAUUGUGGACAGAACUGACCAGCUACUGGUGAACAUUAACAACACCACAGUGUCCUUUUGUUUUCUGUCUCUGCAGGCUGCAUGAUCGACAAAAGAGGACUAAACGGGACUCUUUGCUUCAGGGUGUGCAGCUUCCACUGCAGAUUGCCAUGGCUAAAGAAUCCCUUCUGGAGGCUCGUGACCUACCAUCACAGCCAGUUCAGCCUCAUAUAACUCUUUUGAAGUUCCAGGAGCUUGAGAACCGUGAGGGUGAGGCAAAGAUCCCCCAGCGAGACAGUACCAGAACACCAACACUAUUUGCCAUGGAGGGCUUGUCCGCCACCCUAACACACCACCAGAGCUGGACUUCUUUUCUUCAGGCACCCCUGCAGCACUCCCAGGAGUAAUCCUCUGCCUAUGAGCAACCCCUAGCUCCAGCACACACUGAAGGCUGCUCCAUUUAUCAGGCACCCUAGGCACACUCCAGUGUUUGGUACUAAAUGUAUUACUGUAAUAAAAGUCGGUGUUCAUCAAUUCAGUCUUGGCUGAGUUGUUCAAGUUACACACCUAAAAAUGUUUGUGUUUGCCCUGCUCAGGUUCAAAUCAUUUUAACUGUGUUUUUCCUUUUAUCAGAAGGGCAGGCCAUAGUUUGCUAUGCCCAUUUUGACUACAGUCACAUGAAAAUCCAGAAAUUUUAUAGGGAAGGUCGUGGGAAGAGGCUGUAGUCGUGGCUGAGUGGUUAAGGCGAUGGACUACAAAUCCAUUGGGGUCUCCUGCUGACUAUGUUUCACAGUUGAUUUUUGCGUAUAUUUGGUUGUUCUUGCUUUGCAUUUGCUCUGACUCUGACCACCAGCUUCCCUCUAAAUUUUCAGGAUUUUUAUGUGACUGUUGUCAAAAUGGGCAUAGCAAACUAUGGCAUGCCCUACUGACAAAAAGAACAACGCAGUUAAAAGGAUUUGAACCUGAGCAGGGCGACCCCAAACGUUUUCAGGUGUGUAACUGGCUGUCGAGCGGAAAACAUUUUCAUGUGUCAGCUCUAAUUAUUACCAGUGUAGAAGUUUAGUUAUGAUUUAAAACCCUUAUCUAUUGUAUGUUUACAAUAUUAACUCCAGCGUUCUCUCUCUCUCCUGUUUGGUGCAGCGGAGCAGCAUGGCAGAGGUCACGCCCCCCUUUGAACUGAUUGCUUUUAGCAAAAGGAAAUUGGCUGAUGUUUUUAGGCUCAAUUUACUUAAUUUUUCCCAUCUUAAU